CAAAGAGCUGUGUGAACUGUGAAAACUGUCUACCCCGUGUGGGAGGCGGAGAUGGUUUCCUAUUUUAAUCCUCUCUAAGACUCCAAAGGAGGACCUCAGGAACCCAGGAUCUGAUCACUCCAGCUCCUGGUUUAUGCCGCUCGCUCACAACUGGUCCAGUGUGUUAAUUUUAUGUGCGUGUGUGUAUAAUAAAUCAUGUGAGCCCGCC
ensembl:lncRNA novel transcript